ACCAUAUCUCCAUAGCCCACCGUGCAGAGUGUGAUCUAAAAUCGGAAGUAUGGACUAGUACUGGGAUUAUUGGAAGGGACCAGGAAUGAUGCAAAGAUUAGACCUAAGAACCCUAUGUACAUGGUUGUGAUCAGCUCCUGCAAGACAAAAUAUAUAUGUCAUUGAAGUGCACUUGUCAUCCCGAUAACGAUAAAGAAGUGAUCUUAUUAAGACCCUAAUCAAAGGGAACUUGAAAAACUACGUUCAAGGUGCAAACUUGGA
rnacentral:sRNA from 1 species